CUGCAUGGAGCCGGCCUUGAAAUACCACCCUUUAAUGUUUGAUGUUCUAACGUGGACCCGUGAUCCGGGUUGCGGACAGUGUCUGGUGGGUAGUUUGACUGGGGCGGUCUCCUCCUAAAGAGUAACGGAGGAGCACGAAGGUUGGCUAAUCCUGGUCGGACAUCAGGAGGUUAGUGCAAUGGCAUAAGCCAGCUUGACUGCGAGCGUGACGGCGCGAGCAGGUGCGAAAGCAGGUCAUAGUGAUCCGGUGGUUCUGAAUGGAAGGGCCAUCGCUCAACGGAUAAAAGGUACUCCGGGGAUAACAGGCUGAUACCGCCCAAGAGUUCAUAUCGACGGCGGUGUUUGGCACCUCGAUGUCGGCUCAUCACAUCCUGGGGCUGAAGUAGGUCCCAAGGGUAUGGCUGUUCGCCAUUUAAAGUGGUACGCGAGCUGGGUUUAGAACGUCGUGAGACAGUUC
rnacentral:rRNA from 1 species